UCCACAUUUUUAACGUCGCCAUUUGUAUUUUCAACUUUAUCUUCAUUUUGUUUAUCCAUCAGAUAGCAAAAUGCUUUACUUUCUCUUGAUUUCCAGUCUGCACCUUUUAUAGCUUCAUUGACUUUGUCGCUGAUGAUGGGGUAACCCGAAACUAGUACGACUUUAUAUAAAUAAACGCAAGUUAGAAGUU